GAAAACUGAAAGAGCAAGACAACAAAAACAGCCUCUUCCCUUCCAUACACAACACUUAUUCUUUUCAGUUGCAUUAUUUCCCUUAUUUCAAACAACUGCAGACGAUCAAUAUGACAAUGGUCCGGUUCCGUCGUAACCAUUUGUUCCCUCGUCAAGUCUCCGAUAUUGGGGCCUUCCUUUUCGUUUCCUUUAUGAUCCCAUGCAGUUAUUUCUAUGAAACCCUCAUUGUGGUUCCUUCUUUGUACUCACAGAGCUCCGUCAUGUUCUAUAUCCAUAAUCUAUUGGGGAUUUUCAUACUUAUGAAUCUUCUUGGUAAUUUUCUGGGACUAUGGCUCAUCGAUACUUCUACUCGCUUCGUGGUUCUUCCUACAGUCAUUCGAAAGAAAUGGAAUUUCUGUGCUGCAUGUGAGGCCGUCACACCUCCAAGAUCCUUCCACUGUUCCGUCUGCAAUACUUGUAUCUUAAAACGAGAACAUCAUUGUAUGUUUGUGGGUUACUGCGUGGGCCACCGGAACCACCGCUACUUUUGUCUCUUUCUUUUCUACAUGUUUAUUUCUGUGGCCUACUGCACUUACUUUAACACAUCAUUUCUACACCAACAGAUCCUCCUGGAUGAAUCAGGGAACUUAACUUGGGCACAAAUCUUCAAGUUUGUCUUCCCUCUUGUCAUGCUCAUCACUGGACUUGAUUUCUCCUGGCUACAAUUCUACAUUUUUUUUUGGAGUGUACAUACUGCAGCCCUGCUUUUAACUGGUGUUCUUCUCAUUUAUCAUGCUCAUCUUGUCCUACGAGGACGAACAACAUUCGAGAAUAAUCGAAAAAUCAAUACCUACAAUAUUGGGGCCAUUCAAAACCUGAAGGAGGUUUUUGGAGAAAAUUGGAAAGUAAUACUAAUUAAUCCUUUUAUGAAGUCAAAACUUCCUCAUGACGGCAUGGAGUGGGACACUUAUGAGACCUGGAAGUUGGAAGGACCUAAGAACAGAUGAGGAUUGGAAAUGACUUCCCUUUUACCGGAAGAAGGGGAAGUCAAGAGGAGUAAAUAUAUGUACAACUCAUAUAACGAUAUCCGGUUUGCCUAUAGGAACAAUCAUAUGUAUUCUUCCCCUACGACGACUUCUGGUGUAUAUAGUGAUCCUCAUAGUGGUUCUUAUGGGGAGGACGACAACAAUAGGACUACUGAAAAUGAAAUUCCGCUCUUUAAUCAUCGCAAUCCCAGAGACUGGAUGCACAAGAGAGCUGCUUAUUGUAAUAACUCCUCUAAAACUAAAUGAACUCACGUCUCUUAGACGUAGAAUGUUAUGUGUGAUUAGUACUCAAACAAACUCGUAUAUGAACGUCAUAAAUCCAUUACUAAUUAAUUAAGAUUGUACACUCUGUAUAUAUCAAGGGAUAUAUCAAAAUAAUUAUACUUGUGAGAUUGAAAAUGGGCUCACAUUAUGUGUAUAAAUGUACAUACAUACUAAUAAGUUAUAACCUAAAGUACCGACUGCUGGACAGGAAAAACAGAUUUUGACAAAAAACGCAAUCACUCAUAUAGUAUGACGUCAAUAUUAAAAGCGUGGGGGAAGUCAAACAUAUGUCGUACAUGCGUUAUGGUUCACUCCAACAAACAAGAAACGUUUUCAAUCAGAUAUACAAUAAAACUGGACAAUAGAGUGAUAAAGUUUUGACAGGGGAUAAAGGGCGCUUGGUACUUUUGCUUUGAAGACAUUUUGACCAAGGAUAUUUUCCCUUAAUAUAUAAAUUAUGUUUAUUUUUAUUGAAAUUGAUGAUCCCUUUGAAUUUAUAAAUCAAAAUAUAUAAUAUUUAUUUAUUCAAAAAAUAUUGAAUGGUUCUUAUGAAGCAAGAACAGUGAUUUCCACUUCGUUGUGAUCCAGAAUGUGUCAGAAGAAGUGGCGGUUGGCUGAAGUGAGGCAAACCACUGAAAGGAUUCGGGAAAUCACUCAAAGGUUGGGUGAUAAUUAUCCGCCCGCGGCCUCUUCUUCUCAGAAAUUAUGGAUCAUAACAAAGUGUAAAUCACAGCUAUUGUCUCAUAUUAUGCUUGUUCGUAAUAAUAAUCCAUGAUGUAAAACAAUAAUUGAUAAAGGAGACUUUCCUUGUGAUAAGCACUUCUUUCGUUUGAAAAGCCGUCAUAUUAUUUUAUUUUUCUUAUUAUUUUGUCUCUAGUAUGGUUUGAAAUUUUAUACCCUCUUUAUUCCAACAGAAAACCACAAAUCACUGAUUUUUAUUGUAUAAACACUACAUAUUUGAAUU
rnacentral:misc_RNA from 1 species